AGCGAACGCUAGCGGCGGGCUUAACACAUGCAAGUCGAGCGCGUGGCUUCGGCCACGAGCGGCGAACGGGUGAGUAACACGUAGGUCAUCUGCCCUUUGGUGGGGAAUAACCCGAGGAAACUCGGGCUAAUACCGCAUACUGCCUUCGGGUCAAAGGCUUCGGCCGCCAGAGGAUGAGCCUGCGUCGCAUUACCUAGUUGGUGGGGUAAUGGCCCACCAAGGGGACGAUGCGUAGCUGGUCUGAGAGGAUGAUCAGCCACACUGGGACUGAGACACGGCCCAGACUCCUACGGGAGGCAGCAGUGGGGGAAUAUUGCGCAAUGGGGGAAACCCGUAGACGCAGCCACGCCGCGUGGGUGAUGAAGGCCUCGGUUGUAA
rnacentral:rRNA from 1 species